UACAGAGGGUGCGAGCGUUGUCCGGAAUCACUGGGCGUAAAGGGCGCGUAGGCGGCUUGACAAGCGUGCGGUGAAAGCUCGGGGCUCAACCCCGAGUCGGCCGUGCGAACUGUCAGGCUUGAGCACAGUAGAGGCAGAUGGAAUUCCGGGUGUAGCGGUGGAAUGCGUAGAGAUCCGGAAGAACACCGGUGGCGAAGGCGGUCUGCUGGGCUGUGGCUGACGCUGAUGCGCGACAGCGUGGGGAGCAAACGAGGAU
rnacentral:rRNA from 1 species